rnacentral:rRNA from 1 species
AACGAACGCUGGCGGCAGGCCUAACACAUGCAAGUCGAACGGGACCUUCGGGUCUAGUGGCGGACGGGUGAGUAACGCGUGGGAACGUGCCCUUUGGUUCGGAAUAGCCCCGGGAAACUGGGAGUAAUACCGGAUAAGCCCUACGGGGGAAAGAUUUAUCGCCAAAGGAUCGGCCCGCGUUGGAUUAGGUAGUUGGUGAGGUAAUGGCCUACCAAGCCGACGAUCCAUAGCUGGUUUGAGAGGAUGAUCAGCCACACUGGGACUGAGACACGGCCCAGACUCCUACGGGAGGCAGCAGUGGGGAAUCUUAGACAAUGGGGGAAACCCUGAUCUAGCCAUGCCGCGUGAUCGAUGAAGGCCUUAGGGUUGUAAAGAUCUUUCAGUGGGGAAGAUAAUGACUGUACCCACAGAAGAAGCCCCGGCUAACUCCGUGCCAGCCGCCGCGGUAAGAC